UUACUCUGGUUUCUCUUCAUAACGCACAAGUCUUUCGCCUUUUACUAAAGACUUCCGUGGAGAGUGACUACAACGAGUUUAGCCUAUUUUUGGCAGGCUUUGCUCUCUGGCAGAGCCG
rnacentral:snRNA from 1 species